AAGAGUGGCAAGAAUCUGUUCCCUUAAAGAUUUAACACCACAGGGAUGACACUCAUUUAGGGACCUGUCCUGGGGAACCACAUAUAGAAUUAAAUGUAAUAAAUAGAAAGGAUGUAAAUGGAGCAGGAGCAGGGGCAGGGGCAGGGGCAGGGGCAGGGGCAGGGGCAGGGGCAGGGGCAGGGGCAGGAGCAGGAACAGGGUUUGUGUGGCUUGAGUGUCUGGCAAAUGACAGUUAUAACCUUGCAGAUUCCCCUCUAAACAUGUGCCACUUCUCUCCUACAGCCUCCCUUCUUCCUGAUUGUAUAUGCAAGGAAGGUUCUGGCAUUAGUAAAGAUAUUAGGAAGAAAAUGUUAAAAUUAUCUAAGCAGGUGUCCCAUUGAAGAAAGUGUGAUUAUGUAUCUGAAGACUUGAAUCCUCAUUGCAGCACUAAAAUGCUGAGUAUUAGGGGGAAAUGAUUUUACUUCAACUGAAGGAGACAACAGUUUUCUUAGCUUUGUAACUAUGGAACUAAGCCUGCUAUAUCAUGGAAAUAUUUAAAGUAGUCCCAAGUUAGAUUAUACACAUGCCAUGCCAAUUACAGUCAACCCAAGGAAAGAUCGACCUAGGUGGGUAGGUCAUUGUAAAUGGUAGCAUCUCACUGGUUCUUAUACAUAUAUUUAUUUUCUAAAAACUGCAGACACUCCAUUGUUUGUAAAAUCUAAGUGCCAUUGAAAAUGCUUUCUUUAUGUUAGCUGAUUGGUUUUCUUCUUUGUUUUACAAUUAUUCUGACAUUAACAAUUUAAGCAUUCCUCUAACAAUACAAUCUCGAUAUGUGUGGUGAAUUAUUGGCACACUUUGUAUUUACUUGAUUACAUUUUAUGAAUUUGAUAAAAUUGAGUAAAGGGGAACACUUACUUCCAUAAACACAGUCCCCUCCAUGCAUUCCUCCCAUUCCCUCUCCCCAAAAUUCCCUGUCAAAAAGAUCCAUUCCUCUUCCUUUUCUCUUUAGAGAAAACAAAAACAA
rnacentral:lncRNA from 1 species